rnacentral:rRNA from 1 species
UUUAUUUGAGAGUUUGAUCCUGGCUCAGGAUGAACGCUGGCGGCGUGCCUAACACAUGCAAGUUGAGCGAUUUACUUCGGUAAAGAGCGGCGGACGGGUGAGUAACGCGUGGGUAACCUACCCUGUACACACGGAUAACAUACCGAAAGGUAUGCUAAUACGGGAUAAUAUAUUUGAGAGGCAUCUCUUGAAUAUCAAAGGUGAGCCAGUACAGGAUGGACCCGCGUCUGAUUAGCUAGUUGGUAAGGUAAAGGCUUACCAAGGCGACGAUCAGUAGCCGACCUGAGAGGGUGAUCGGCCACAUUGGAACUGAGACACGGUCCAAACUCCUACGGGAGGCAGCAGUGGGGAAUAUUGCACAAUGGGCGAAAGCC